CCUACGGGUGGCUGCAGUGGGGAAUAUUGGACAAUGGGCGAAAGCCUGAUCCAGCCAUGCCGCGUGUGUGAAGAAGGCCUUCGGGUUGUAAAGCACUUUCAGUGGGGAAGAAAGCCUUGGGGCUAAUACCCUCGAGGAAGGACAUCACCCACAGAAGAAGCACCGGCUAACUCCGUGCCAGCAGCCGCGGUAAUACGGAGGGUGCGAGCGUUAAUCGGAAUUACUGGGCGUAAAGCGCGCGUAGGCGGUCUGAUAAGCCGGUUGUGAAAGCCCCGGGCUCAACCUGGGAACGGCAUCCGGAACUGUCAGGCUAGAGUGCAGGAGAGGAAGGUAGAAUUCCCGGUGUAGCGGUGAAAUGCGUAGAGAUCGGGAGAAUACCAGUGGCGAAGGCGGCCUUCUGGACUGACACUGACGCUGAGGUGCGAAAGCGUGGGUAGCAAACAGGAUUAGAUACCCGGGUAGUC
rnacentral:rRNA from 1 species